CCGAACAGGGACCGUUGAAACUCAGAGCAGGGAAGCUCCGCUCUGGCGACCCUUGACAAGCAGAGCGGGCAGCUCCGAAGAUCGUCGAUCCGAAGGAAGCUGUCUGUGGCACACAUCGGGCGCUCGUCAGCCACUUAAAUGGGACGAGCCUGGCUGCUGAUGUCAAAGUCUCGAGCGACAGUUUCCCCUGCAUCUCCCUCAGUGGAUCCCCUGUCUCCCUUGGGAGCCGGGAAAGUCAGCUGAGCGGAGGCCCGGAUUCCCUUUCAGAGGCCUCUCCUUGGAUGCGAGAGACCGAGCAAGGCCGUGGGCAACUGCGAGACUCUAGGCUGAGGCUGCACUUCAGCGGCUUCUGAAAGGCCCGCGUGUCUGGAAUCAGACCCCGACAGCCCGACUGGGUAUCCGUGAGGAGCGCCUCUCUCUGUCUGUCUCUGACUUCCAGCCUGCUUCAGCCUGCCCUGGCCUCUGAGUGAGGCAGGGGGUGUCCCUAACUCUCUUCUAGCUUCAUCAAUCUCACGGAACCUGAUGCUCACGCCCACAAGAGGCAGUCGUCCUGGAGCUAAGCAUUUCCUUGUCUGCAGCCCCAGGGAAGCGAAACAAGCCUGUGACUCAGAUCAAGACUCUAAGCAGUGAAGAAAAGUCACACAGUCCCUGCACUUACCAGACAGGCAGGGGCCUCUCGAGGAAGGACUAAAGCUCAGGCAGAGGAAACUAGGAAAACUAACUGAGAGUAAUUCAAUCCCUACACUCUAAGAAAGAAGUGUCUUAUCUUCUGCACAUAAACCUGGCCUCAACACAAACACUCUGAUUAGAGAGGCUUGGCCCCUGAAAGAAGUAUGCGAUAUAAUGUUAUGCAGCUAAAUAUAUUUUGCCACAAGGAAAAUAGUGAAAAGUCCCGUGCACUACUACAAUAUGGAAGUAGUUAUCUAAAUUCCUUUAGUGAAAAUCUAUUCUACUUACUGGGUUCAUCAUUAUCUUUGAAAAUUGGGAAGUCUUAAACUAGACUCCCUGAGGUAGAAGAAAUUUAUCUUUUACAACACAGCCUGGCUUUAAAUGACUGCUGCUAGAAUUGUACUUGCAUUUCAUUUCCAGCCCCCUGGACACACACAGUCCGUAUCAGUUCAGAGCUUUCAUCGGCCCUGUUAGUCUGGGGCCAUCUAAACCUUAACCCAGUUACGUAAACUGCUCGCCCUUAGAGUGUAUUCUUGAAAACUGAAGUACUUUAAUCAAGUAAGCUAAAAAGAAAGAAGGCAAUUGAAUAUUAGUAACUCAAAUAUUUAAUCAGUUUGUGUAUAUGUUUUUGUAUGUAAAGUGUUGCUAACUGUAGUCAUUAUGUCUCAGUCUGUAUGUUUGUGUGUCUAAGCGUGUAAAUGAAAAAUACUUCCUACCUCCGGAUGGUAUUAAUAAAAAUUAAUUUAAAGACAAGCACUUGUGAACAUUGAGCAUUCUAAAACUUCCAGAAAAUCUAAUAAAAAAUGUUAAGCAUUAAAGCUAAUUUAAGUUUAAGUGAAACGGACAUGUCCUUAUAGUUAACAACUGCCAAAGUUUACUUAAAGUCAUUUAAGUUGAUGUUACCUGUUAAAUAUUUCAAGAAGAUGCUUAAAGAAAAGCUUGACUUUGAUGUUUGGUAAAAGUUUUAUAAGUAAUCUGGCAUGGUUGCUAAAAAUAAGUAAACAAGUGUAGCAAAUAAACAUCUUAAUAAUAAUACUGUAUUAAUGUAUAACAGUGUAUAUAUCUGCAAAAAGUUAGAAUUUUUGUGGCAACCAAAAUUCUUAAAGUUUGCUAAGUUAUAUAGACAUAUUUUAUGCUUAAUGAGAAAUUGUGCUGUAAGGCACAUUUCCAAAAAUGAUAAAAUAUGUUCAUAGAUGUAUCAAUCUGAAGAAUGCUGGUGUAACAGUUUACAGUGGCCUGUUUUUCAGUGUUUACUGAAGGUUAAGGUAACAAAUGGUUUUAAGUUCUAAUGAAAACUACUUAAUAUAAUAAGGAAAACAUUUCUGGAUGCUAAAGGAUGUAUAUUUUAAUAAGAGAAGGUAUAAGGAAUAGAAAUGCAUUGUAUUGAAAGUAAAAGAAGAUAACUAUUCAAAAGUACAGCUGUUUGUUUAAAGACAGUGAAGACUGAAUGUAAAAGUUGUAAAAAGUAUAAAAAAUUGAUAUAGUCAUGCUAUGUGAAAUUAAAGCAAAUAAAUCUUGAUAUCAAGUACACAGCAAGACUAGAAUUUUUGUUUGUUAAAAGAACAAAAGUUUCUUACUCUACCUUUAAUGUUGAAAGAUUGUAAAGUUUUCUGAUUAUUAAAACAGUUUCUUAUGCUUAAAGUCUCAAUGAAUUGUCUGAGUAUUUAAGAAAAUGAGAUCUUAAUAUUAAAAAGACUAAGCUAAGUGUUGUUAACUGUGUAACCUUCUGCAUUUGCUUUUAAACUUUCUUAUUAUCAUUCUGGUUAAAUAGUAAGUGUUAUUUAAUAACUAUAAUUAUAUUUAGGCAAGUGCCUUAAAAACUUUUGACAACUUCCCAAGACCAAAUUUAGAAAAGUGUGUUUUUACCUCUAAUUAACUCUGAUAUUUUCCAGAGGGCCCCUGGAACAUGUCAGAGGAAUUUCUUCUCAUCAAGGAAAAUAUUUGACUAAUUUGGCUUAUUUACCCGAUAUAUAUUUACCUGGAGAGCCCUGCCAAAGGGAAUAAUGCCAAACUUUAUUACUGAAUGUUUCAUGUUACAGAAAUGCCGCGCUUCCCCCCGAGACGCUCACUCCUGAUGCCCAGUUACAUUCACCUGUUAGCACGGCUAUGAUCACUGGCUGUGUGUGUAUUGAUUGUACUCAUGUGCCCUCUUACUGUAAUUCUACAAUCAAUGUAAAAUGGUCUUCUGGAUAUAGACUUCCAAAUGGUUGGGUAUUUUUGUGUAAUGGCAAAACAUAUCAAGCCCUUUCUUCACACUAUUGAGGUGUUUGUGGGGUGGAACGCAUUCUUCCUGAUCUAAUAGACCAUCUGGAUAGAAGCGUAAGAGACGUCUCCGAGCUCUGCCGUCAGAUUGUGAUGAAAACUUGGAACUUGGAGAUCCUGCCGCUGUUGCAGUUGCAGCUGCGUUCCUCCUGCCGGUUCCUGGACUUGUCGUAGGAAUGCAGAAAGAGAUCUCUAAGCUGGCCUGUGCAUCCAGCAAAACAACAAAUUUGACUGCUUCUGUAUUAUCGGAACUCAGCCAAGAACUGGGAGAAGUGCGAGCUGCAGAGCCUCAGGAUCGCGCUGCUAUGGACCGUCUGCUGUUAAAAGAGCACGUAGGAUGUGAACAGUUUCCAAGAAUGUGUUGUCUCAAUUUGUCUGAUUCUUCUCAAACUAUUCAAAAUCAAUUAGAUGAUAUCCAUC